rnacentral:rRNA from 1 species
GAAACCGGAGCUAAUACCGGAUAAUAUUUGAACCGCAUGGUUACAAAGUGAAGGACGGUCUUGCUGUCACUUAUAGAUGGAUCCGCGCUGCAUUAGCUAGUUGGUAAGGUAACGGCUUACCAAGGCAACGAUGCAUAGCCGACCUGAGAGGGUGAUCGGCCACACUGGAACUGAGACACGGUCCAG